UUAAUUGAAGCCAAAAUAGAGGCCCCUCACUGUUAAUGAAGGAACUGACGAAAUUAACGUCCAAUUAAA
rnacentral:tRNA from 1 species